rnacentral:rRNA from 1 species
CACUAUGGCCAUGCCACCCUGAAUGUGCCCGAUCUCAUCUGAUCUCGGAAGCUAAGCAGGGUCGGGCCUGGUUAGUACUUGGAUGGGAGACCACCUUGGAAUAUCAGGUGUUGUAGGCA